rnacentral:rRNA from 1 species
CACGUAGGGGGCAAGCGUUGUCCGGAUUUAUUGGGCGUAAAGAGCUCGUAGGCGGCUCGGUAAGUCGGGUGUCAAAUCCUCAGGCUCAACCUGGGGCACCACCCGAUACUGCUGUGGCUAGAGUCCGGUAGGGGAGCGUGGAAUUCCUGGUGUAGCGGUGAAAUGCGUAGAUAUCGUAAGGAAGACCAGUGGCGAAGGCGGGUCUCUGGACAGUUCCUGACGCUGAGGCACGAAGGCCAGGGGAGCAAACGGG